UCCGGAAUUAUUGGGCGUAAAGCGCGCGCAGGUGGUUUCUUAAGUCUGAUGUGAAAGCCCACGGCUCAACCGUGGAGGGUCAUUGGAAACUGGGAGACUUGAGUGCAGAAAGAGGAAAGUGGAAUUUCCAUGUGUAGCGGUGAAAUGCGUAGAGAUAUGGAGGAACACCAGUGGCGAAGGCGACUUUCUGGUCUGUAACUGACACUGAGGCGCGAAAGCGUGGGGAGCAAACAGGAUUAUAUACCCUGGUAGUCCACGCCGUAAACGAUGAGUGCUAAGUGUUAGAGGGUUUCCGCCCUUUAGUGCUGAAGUUAACGCAUUAAGCACUCCGCCUGGGGAGUACGGCCGCAAGGCUGAAACUCAAAGGAAUUGACGGGGGCCCGCACAAGCGGUGGAGCAUGUGGUUUAAUUCGAAGCAACGCGAAGAACCUUACCAGGUCUUGACAUCCUCUGAAAACCCUAGAGAUAGGGCUUCUCCUUCGGGAGCAGAGUGACAGGUGGUGCAUGGUUGUCGUCAGCUCGUGUCGUGAGAUGUUGGGUUAAGUCCCGCAACGAGCGCAACCCUUGAUCUUAGUUGCCAGCAUUCAGUUGGGCACUCUAAGGUGACUGCCGGUGACAAACCGGAGGAAGGUGGGGAUGACGUCAAAUCAUCAUGCCCCUUAUGACCUGGGCUACACACGUGCUACAAUGGACGGUACAAAGAGCUGCAAGACCGCGAGGUGGAGCUAAUCUCAUAAAACCGUUCUCAGUUCGGAUUGUAGGCUGCAACUCGCCUACAUGAAGCUGGAAUCGCUAGUAAUCGCGGAUCAGCAUGCCGCGGUGA
rnacentral:rRNA from 1 species